rnacentral:rRNA from 1 species
AUUGAUAGCUCUUUCUUGAUUUGGUGGUUGGUGGUGCAUGGCCGUUCUUAGUUGGUGGAGCGAUUUGUCUGGUUAAUUCCGAUAACGAACGAGACUCCAGCCUGCUAAUUAGUGCAUCUGUCCACUGUUCCUGUGUAGGCGGCGUUCGGCAAGGCUGCUCCUAUAAGCUGCUGUAGAGGUGGUCUGUUUCCUUCUCUUUCUUUCAGGAGGGGUUGGGAGUGGAUUGUUCUUUGCGGUGGUUGGGUUGUGGCUGGUCCGGCGUUAGUCUCCGGGUACGGCGCGGAUGUUUACUUCUUAGAGGGACAAGCGGGAGAAGCCGCACGAAAUUGAGCAAUAACAGGUCUGUGAUGCCCUUAGAUGUCCGGGGCCGCACGCGCGCUACAAUGACGGUGCCAACGAGUCUGACCUUCUGACCCGAAAGGGUUGGGCAAACUGGUCAAUCACCGUCAUGACAGGGAUCGGGGCUUGGAAUUGUUCCCCGUGAACGAGGAAUUCCUAGUAAGUGCAAGUCAUAAGCUUGCGCUGAUUACGUCCCUGCCCUUUGUACACACCGCCCGUCGCUACUACCGAUUGAAUGGUUUAGUAAGGUCCUUGGAUUGGCGCCAUUGUGGUAGUUGCCGAAAGGUUGCUGCCCGACAGGUGCUGAGAAGAGGAMCAAACUUGAUCAUAAGRGAAGAAAC